AUCCAGCAGACGAGUCCCAAAUGGGACGAAACGCGCAUCCUGGAU
rnacentral:hammerhead_ribozyme from 1 species